GCAGUCGAGCGAACCGACGGGAGCUUGCUCCCUUAGGUUAGCGGCGGACGGGUGAGUAACACGUGGGUAACCUGCCUGUAAGACUGGGAUAACUCCGGGAAACCGGGGCUAAUACCGGAUGCUUGAUUGAACCGCAUGGUUCAAUCAUAAAAGGCGGCUUCGGCUGCCGUUUACAGAUGGACCCGCGGCGCAUUAGCUAGUUGGUGAGGUAACGGCUCACCAAGGCGACGAUGCGUAGCCGACCUGAGAGGGUGAUCGGCCACACUGGGACUGAGACACGGCCCAGACUCCUACGGGAGGCAGCAGUAGGGAAUCUUCCGCAAUGGACGAAAGUCUGACGGAGCAACGCCGCGUGAGUGAUGAAGGUUUUCGGAUCGUAAAGCUCUGUUGUUAGGGAAGAACAAGUACCGUUCGAAUAGGGCGGUACCUUGACGGUACCUAACCAGAAAGCCACGGCUAACUACGUGCCAGCAGCCGCGGUAAUACGUAGGUGGCAAGCGUUGUCCGGAAUUAUUGGGCGUAAAGCGCGCGCAGGCGGUUUCUUAAGUCUGAUGUGAAAGCCCCCGGCUCAACCGGGGAGGGUCAUUGGAAACUGGGGAACUUGAGUGCAGAAGAGGAGAGUGGAAUUCCACGUGUAGCGGUGAAAUGCGUAGAGAUGUGGAGGAACACCAGUGGCGAAGGCGACUCUCUGGUCUGUA
rnacentral:rRNA from 1 species